GUCGAGAAUCUUUCACAAUGGGGGCAACCCUGAUGGAGCGACGCCGCGUGGAGGAUAAGGUCUUCGGAUUGUAAACUCCUGUCAUGCGUGAACAAGGUUGCUUGGUUAAUACCUGGGCAAAUUGAUGGUAACGCAAGAGGAAGAGACGGCUAACUCUGUGCCAGCAGCCGCGGUAAUACAGAGGUCUCAAGCGUUGUUCGGAAUCACUGGGCGUAAAGGGUGCGUAGGUGGCGUGGUAAGUCAGAUGUGAAAGCCCGGGGCUCAACCACGGAACUGCAUCCGAUACUGCCAUGCUAGAGUACUGGAGAGGUGACUAGAAUUCUCGGUGUAGCAGUGAAAUGCGUAGAUAUCGAGAGGAAUACCAAAGGCGUAGGCAGGUCACUGGACAGUUACUGACACUGAGGCACGAAGGCCAGGGGAGCGAACGGGAUUAGAAACCCCUGUAGUCC
rnacentral:rRNA from 1 species